rnacentral:rRNA from 1 species
AAGACCUUUGCGCUUUUGGAGCGGCCGAUGUCUGAUUAGCUUCGUUGGUGAGGUAAAGGCUUACCAAGGCUUCGAUCAGUAGCUGGUCUGAGAGGACGGCCAGCCACACUGGGACUGAGACACGGCCCAGACUCCUACGGGAGGCAGCAGUGGGGAAUUUUGGACAAUGGGGGCAACCCUGAUCCAGCCAUGCCGCGUGAGUGAAGAAGGCCUUCGGGUUGUAAAGCUCUUUCAGCCGGAACGAAACGGUUACGGUUAAUACCCGUGACUACUGACGGUACCGGAAGAAGAAGCACCGGCUAACUACGUGCCAGCAGCCGCGGUAAUACGUAGGGUGCAAGCGUUAAUCGGAAUUACUGGGCGUAAAGCGUGCGCAGGUGGUUUUGUAAGUCAGAUGUGAAAUCCCCGGGCUUAACCUGGGAACU